AAGUCGUAACAAGGUCUCCGUUGGUGAACCAGCGGAGGGAUCAUUACUGAGUACUACACUCUCUACCCUUUGUGAACUAUUAUACCUGUUGCUUCGGCGGCGCCCGCAAGGGUGCCCGCCGGUCUCAUCAGAAUCUCUGUUUUCGAACCCGACGAUACUUCUGAGUGUUCUUAGCGAACUGUCAAAGCUUUUAACAACGGAUCUCUUGGCUCCAGCAUCGAUGAAGAACGCAGCGAAACGCGAUAUGUAAUGUGAAUUGCAGAAUUCAGUGAAUCAUCGAAUCUUUGAACGCACAUGGCGCCUUCCAGUAUCCUGGGAGGCAUGCCUGUCCGAGCGUCGUUUCAACCCUCGAGCCCCUGUGGCCCGGCGUUGGGGAUCUGCCACGGCAGGCCCCUAAAACCAGUGGCGGACCCGAAGGGCCCUCUCCUUUGCGCAGUAGCAUUCGCCUCGCAUCGGGAGUCCUCGGCGUCCUGCCUCUAAACCCCCCACAAGCCCGCUUCGGCGGCACCAAUGGUUGACCUCGGAUCAGGUAGGAAUACCCGCUGAACUUAA
rnacentral:rRNA from 1 species